rnacentral:misc_RNA from 1 species
GAUGAAGAACGCAGCGAAAUGCGAUAACUAGUGUGAAUUGCAGAAUUCCGUGAAUCAUCGAGUCUUUGAACGCACAUUGCGCCCCCUGGUAUUCCGGGGGGCAUGCCUGUCCGAGCGUCAUUGCUGCCCAUCAAGCACGGCUUGUGUGUUGGGUCGUCGUCCCCUCUCCGGGGGGGACGGGCCCCAAAGGCAGCGGCAGCACCGCGUCCGAUCCUCGAGCGUAUGGGGCUUUGUCACCCGCUCUGUAGGCCCGGCCGGCGCUUGCCGAACGCAAAUCAAUCUUUUUCCAGGUUGACCUCGGAUCAGGUAGGGAUACCCGCUGAACUUAAGCAUAUCAAUAAGCGGAGGA